rnacentral:rRNA from 1 species
GAUGAACGCUGGCGGCGUGCCUAAUACAUGCAAGUCGAGCGAACAGACGAGGAGCUUGCUCCUCUCACGUUAGCGGCGCACGGGUGAGUAACACGUGGAUAACCUACCUAUAAGACUGGGAUAACUUCGGGAAACCGGAGCUAAUACCGGAUAAUAUAUUGAACCGCAUGGUUCAAUAGUGAAAGACGGGUUUGCUGUCACUUAUAGAUGGAUCCGCGCCGCAUUAGCUAGUUGGUAAGGUAACGGCUUACUAAGGCAACGAUGCGUAGCCGACCUGAGAGAGGGGUAGGAGACAGUGGAAGAGGGACACGGUCCAGACUACUACGGGAGGCAGCAGUAGGGAAUCGUCCGCAAUGGGCGAAAGCAUGACGGAGCAACGCGGCGUGGGUGAUGAAGGUCUUCGGAUCGUAAAGCUGUGUUAUUAGGGAAGAACAAAUGUGUAAGUAACUAUGCACGUCUUGACGGUACCUGAUCAGAAAGCAACGGCUAACUACGUG